GGAGUCGGCCAGGCGACCGCGGCGAGGCUCGACCUCGUCGAGGAAAGUCCGGACUCCGCAGGGCAGGACGCUGGGUAACGCCCAGGCGCGGCGACGCGCGGAAAGUGCAACAGAGAGCAGACCGCCGGAAGGCCCGCGACGCGACGCGAGGUCGCGCGGCCCUCCGGUAAGGGUGAAACGGUGCGGUAAGAGCGCACCGGCGCCGGCGGUGACGCUGGCGGCCAGGCAAACCCCGUCCGGAGCAAGGCCAAGCAGGUGCGUUGAGGUGGCCCGCUGAGCACCAGGUAGGCCGCAACGAGACCGGUGGUGACGCCGGUCCUAGACAGAUGGUCGCCACCCACUUCGGGUACAGAAUCCGGCUUAUCGGCCGGCUCCCCGC
rnacentral:RNase_P_RNA from 1 species